rnacentral:ncRNA from 1 species
UAAUGGUCUGUACUGAUCCCUUGCCAAAAGUCUUUUCUCCUAAAAGCAAAGCUCUUUUUUGAUCUUUCAGUGCUCCGGCUACAAUUUCCGAAGCUGAAGCAGAACCGGCAUUGAUGAGUACGACCAAAGGACAGGUGAUGUCAUCUUUUUGUUUGUGGGCAAAAUAUUCUUUUCUGCUCUCUUUUUUUCGACCCUGAGUAUAAACAAUUAAUCCGUCAGAUAAAAAAAGAUCAGAUACAGAUAUUGCCUGAUCAAGAAGUCCACCAGGAUUAUUGCGC